GGUGGUGGCUUGAGGCAGUGGUACUACCUCUUCCCAUUCCGAACAGAGUCGUAAAACGCUGUACUGCCGAUGAUACUCGCAAGGGGACAGUAGGCAGCUGCCACCU
rnacentral:rRNA from 3 species